GUGAAAUUGUGACAAAAGAUGAUUCUGGCCCAAAAAUUGUCGUGGAUUCAGGGGAGAAAGUUGUUCCCGUUAAGCUAGGAAAGUUUAAGAAUGUGGAUAUUGGUGAAGGAAGUAGCAAUAACAGUAAUGUUGAUGAAAGGAGGUGUUUUUCUAUGGGUUCAUUUGAGUAUAUAAUGGAUGAGAAUUGUUCAUUACGAGUUGCUGUAAGUACUCCAAUGAAGAAACAAUCAAGCAAGAAACCUCCUUUGCCAUUAACUCCUGGCCACAGGCCAGCAAUGUCUGAAUGUGUUUUCGAAUCAAGAAGCGAAUUCCAUGG
rnacentral:misc_RNA from 1 species